GCUUCUGUAGUGUAGUGCGGUCAAACUUCUCCUUAAAUUAAGAAUAAGGAUCACGCAUGCGAGGCUCUCACCCUCGCGACCCGGGUUCAAAUCCCGGCAGAAGCA
rnacentral:tRNA from 1 species